CCAAAGUCCGAUCCUAGUUCCAAUUUUUAAAAGUGCAACGUAUCAGUAGGCACGUUGGUUAACGUUUCUUCUAACUGUGAAGCUUGCUGUUGAGUAAGUUAUUUUACUGUCGUGGGAAACGUCGGGAAAAAGAAAUCGAAGAUGCUAGGAUUUGGAUACAUGCUGUUGGUGAUGCUCAUCGUGGCAACUAUCAGCAUUGCCGAAAACUCUCGCACUCACGAAGGCCUUUUGCCAAGUUCGGCAUUUCACCAUGCUGUGCCAAUUGGACAAGAAGCACUGGAUUUGAUCCCUGAAUUUUGAAACUCAGUCAAAAUUCAGUUCAAUGUCCACCCACAUUCUGUAUAAUAAUUUUUCUGUCCUGAAUUCCAUUGUCAGUUUUUCUUCUUUUGCUUUUAUUUUAAUUUGAUUGACAUUUCAAUUAAUUUUGAAGACAUCAUUUUACGACACAAAUUUAUCUUUAAAAAAGAAAUGAAACGUGCUAAAAUGAAUUUUAUAUGAGAAUUAUACCUGCCUCUGAUGUUCCAAUAUAGAAUCUUAAAUCGUA